AUAUGUAUAAACAAGUUCAAAAUGUCCUGCAUGGAGGAGUCAGCCAAGAUCUCUCUACAAGUGUUUCCAACAUUAUGAGACAUUACAGGGGGAAAAAGUUGAAAUAAAACUAUAUAGUGUCUCUGUAAAAUAGCAUGUGUUGCAUGUGUUAUUUUUUUAUUUUCAAUUUGCACGAGUCAGAACGUGUCUAUUAAAAACCAUUAUGGUGGUUUCGGUUUCAAGCAGAAAAAAUAGUAUGCACAGUUUUAACUAGUAAUGCUGACGUUGCCUUUCCCCACUGUUUUUGCCAUGAGAAAUGCUCACUGCAAGUGUAUUUGUUGGCACAGGAGAACAUUACAUUUACUUUUGGAAUACAUUGUUUUUAACUGAAAGUUUCUAGACUGCAGAUUUAUAAGGAUUUAUAUCUGAUGGGAAAAUUGGGGCAGGGCCUAUUAGCAGAUGGGCCUGACAAAGAUCUGGAGCUGUUAAGGGGCAUGUGUGUGUGUGUGUGUGUGUGUGUGUGUGUGUGUGUGUGUGUGUGUGUGUGUGUGUUGGUGUUACGCCACCCUACAGGAGGCCUAGAGGGCCAGACUGAAAUUCAGACUGCAGCUGUCUGCUCUCAACCACCUGCCAAGCCCUGCAGACUCGACACACUGUCCAAAUGACAUCAUUCUAACAUUAAAACUCAACAAAAUGCUGACCAUAAUGACGAUUACAGCAGAGAUAUAAACGGUGUGAGUGAGAAUAAUGAGACAUGGGCUCAUGGCACUGUGAACUGAAACUUGUUCAUUUUUAUGGUGGGUGGAACAAUAUGAACCAAAAUACUUCAUGAACAAUUUUUGGCUGGUUUUAUUUUAUUUUAUUUUUUUAAAAUUUUUUUUUACAAUUUUUUUGCUGAAACACAUUCUUGUUACAGAUGUUAACUAUCAUGCUCCCAUGUUUACUCCUCAUCGUCUCCCACUCAGAACGUACAAUGAAUGUACUGUCGUUUUGCUUUGUUUUAUUUUAAUACUCACUUGCUUUUGCCGUUUCAGAUUUCACAUGUUUUGUGAGAUACAAGUAUCAGUGUUUGGACAGUCAAUUAUUC
ensembl:lncRNA